ensembl:lncRNA
CUAGAAGUUUCCAGCUACAUCCCAAUGUGAUGAUGUGUUGAUUUACCUCAGUUUGGGACUCUUUUCUGUCCCAGAGCCUCAGAGAUAAAAUGUCAGUGAAAGUCCUGCUAUAGUUACCUGACAAAGUAAAGCCCUUUGAAAGUGGUUCUUCUUCUGGUCCAUUACUGUAUGCUUACAAAUAUGUUUUUGAACCACAAAUCUGAACAGCCACUUCCAGACUGGAAGACACCCAGUGGCCUUCGUGCCCUCCAGAAUAAGUCCUGCCCUGUUAAAAUGGCAUAGAAGAUCUUUUGUGACUCCUUCCAAUCCACUCAAUCUCUGUCCAUGUCUCCGUCACACGUAAUAGUUAUUGAUGCUGGACAGGAAGCAAAAUUGGUCAAGUUAAGCAUCUAGUGCGGACGGAUGGUGUAAAUACUUUAAUACUGGCUGCCAGAGUCACCUGGGAGGAGAAAACUUCCACUGAGAAACUGCCUAGAUCGCAUUGGCCUGAGGGAGUCUAAUGUCUUGAGUGACAACCUAUGACCUUGUGAAGAUCGUCACACCUUUGGAUUCUUGUAUGUGCUGCUGAAAGAAUUGAGUGGCCUGAGGCCAGAGUAAAACACACAGGGCUGCACACCAUUCUUAGAGCACUUAAAGCACAUGAAUCAAAUUAACCAAUUGCUCAAUAAAAUACCUCGUUGAAUGGAUAUUUGUAAAAACAGAAUAAAAGGCG